rnacentral:snoRNA from 1 species
GAAUUUUAAAAAGGCGCUUUAAUUGAUGGCAGUUUAUGGAUUCGCACGAGAAGAAGAGAGAAUUCACAGAACUGUCAUUUUACCUUCUAUCUUUACAGAGGUAUAUUUGGCUGUUUUGUGAGACAUUC